GCCGGGCGCGGUGGCUCACGCCUGUAAUCCCAGCACUUUGGGAGGCCGAGGUGGGCGGAUCACCUGAGGUCGGGAGUUCGAGACCAGCCUGACCAACAUGGAGAAACCCCAUCUCUA
rnacentral:sRNA from 1 species